rnacentral:rRNA from 1 species
UACGUUCCCGGGCCUUGUACACACCGCCCGUCACGUCACGAAAGUUGGCAACACCCGAAGCCGGCGGCCUAACCCGUAAGGGAGGGAGCUGUCGAAGGGUGGGGGUCGGCGAUUGGGACG